AUUGAACGCUGGCGGCAGGCCUAACACAUGCAAGUCGAACGAGUGGCGGACGUGUGAGUAAUGUCUGGGAACCUGCCUGGUGGAGGUGGAUAACUACUGGAAACGGUAGCUAAUACCGCCUACCAUCAGCUGUGCCCAGAUGGGAUUAGCUAGGUGGUGGGGUAACGGCUCACCAAGGCGACGAUCCCUAGCUGGUCUGAGAGCAUGACCAGCCACACGGGAACUUAGACACGGUCAAGACUCCCACGGGAGGCAGCAGUGGGGAAUAUUGGACAAUGGGCGAAAGCCUGAUGCAGCCAUGCCGCGUGUAUGAAGAAGGCCUUCGGGUUGUAAAGUACUUUCAGCGGGGAGGCGUUACCCGCAGAAGAAGCACCGGCUAACUCCGUGCCAGCAGCCGCGGUAAUAC
rnacentral:rRNA from 1 species